rnacentral:lncRNA from 1 species
GGGUUGGGGGGCAAUAUAUUGUCCUUUAAGGUUUCUGACCCAAGAUUCUCUCCCUUUCCCUCUCACAGUUGAUUCCCCAGAUCUCCUCCUUGGCAUGGUACACAACUGUGAUACCCCUGAUGGUGGUGCUGUCCAUGACAGGAGUGAAAGAUGCCGUCGAUGACUUGAAAAGGCACCAAAGUGACAAAAAAGUCAACAACCGUCCUGUUCUGAUACUGGUGAAUGGCAAGUAAGUCCUUCUAGGGAAGCCAAUUUAGGUAGGACCUUCUCUUGGAGAGGGC